rnacentral:rRNA from 1 species
GACGAACGCUGGCGGCGUGCCUAAUACAUGCAAGUCGAACGCUGAAGAGAGGAGCUUGCUCUUCUUGGAUGAGUUGCGAACGGGUGAGUAACGCGUAGGUAACCUGCCUUGUAGCGGGGGAUAACUAUUGGAAACGAUAGCUAAUACCGCAUAACAAUGGAUGACACAUGUCAUUUAUUUGAAGGGGGCAAUUGCUCCACUACAAGAUGGACCUGCGUUGUAUUAGCUAGUAGGUGAGGUAAUGGCUCACCUAGGCGACGAUACAUAGCCGACCUGAGAGGGUGAUCGGCCACACUGGGACUGAGACACGGCCCAGACUCCUACGGGAGGCAGCAGUAGGGAAUCUUCGGCAAUGGGGGCAACCCUGACCGAGCAACGCCGCGUGAGUGAAGAAGGUUUUCGGAUCGUAAAGCUCUGUUGUAAGUCAAGAACGGGUGUGAGAGUGGAAAGUUCACACUGUGACGGUAGCUUACCAGAAAGGGACGGCUAACUACGUG